AUUGAACGCUGGCGGCAGGCCUAACACAUGCAAGUCGAGCGGAGCGGGGGACGGGUGAGUAAUGCCUAGGACUCUGCCUGGUCGUGGGGGAUAACGUCCGGAAACGGGCGCUAAUACCACAUCCUAUCAGAUGAGCCUAGGCCGGAUUAGCUAGUUGUUGGGGUAAAGGCCUACCCAGGCGACGAUCCGUAACUGGGCUGAGAGGAUGAGCAGUCACACUGGAACUGAGACACGGUCCAGACUCCUACGGGAGGCAGCAUUGGGGAAUAUUGGCCAAUGGGCGAAAGCCUGAUGCAGCCAUGCCGCGUGUAUGAAGAAGGUCUUCGGAUUGUAAAGCACUUUAAGUUGGGAGGCGUUACCAGCAGAAUAAGCACCGGCUAACUCCGUGCCAGCAGCCGCGGUAAUAC
rnacentral:rRNA from 1 species